rnacentral:piRNA from 1 species
UGGGAAAUUGUAAGUGCUGACUCCUCUGGC